UACAGAGGGUGCAAGCGUUGUUCGGAAUUAUUGGGCGUAAAGCGCGUGUAGGCGGCUUUGCAAGUCGGGUGUGAAAUCCCUCAGCUUAACUGAGGAAGUGCGCCCGAAACUGCAGGGCUUGAGUACCGGAGAGGGUGGCGGAAUUCCCCAAGUAGAGGUGAAAUUCGUAGAUAUGGGGAGGAACACCGGUGGCGAAGGCGGCCACCUGGACGGAUACUGACGCUGAGACGCGAAAGCGUGGGUAGCAAACAGG
rnacentral:rRNA from 1 species